AGGAUGAACGCUGGCGGUCUGCUUAACACAUGCAAGUCGAACGGAGUACCUCGGUACUUAGUGGCGGACGGGUGAGUAACGCGUGAGAAUCUGCCCUUAGGUCGGGGACAACCAUUGGAAACGAUGGCUAAAUACCGGAUAAGCCGAGAGGUAAAAGAUUAAUUGCCUAGGGAAGAGCUCGCGUCUGAUUAGCUAGUUGGUGAGGUAAAGGCUCACCAAGGCAUCGAUCAGUAGCUGGUCUGAGAGGAUGAUCAGCCACACUGGGACUGAGACACGGCCCAGACUCCUACGGGAGGCAGCAGUGGGGAAUUUUCCGCAAUGGGCGAAAGCCUGACGGAGCAAGACCGCGUGAGGGAGGAAGGCUCUUGGGUUGUAAACCUCUUUUCUUGGGGAAGAACAAAUGACGGUACCCAAGGAAUCAGCAUCGGCUAACUCCGUGCCAGCAGCCGC
rnacentral:rRNA from 1 species